rnacentral:rRNA from 1 species
AUUGAACGCUGGCGGCAGGCUUAACACAUGCAAGUCGAACGGUAACAGAGAAUAGCUUGCUAUUUUGCUGACGAGUGGCGGACGGGUGAGUAAUGCUUGGGAAUUUGCCGAAAGGUGGGGGACAACAGUUGGAAACGACUGCUAAUACCGCAUAAUGUCUACGGACCAAAGGUGGCCUCUAUUUAUAUGCUAUCGCCUUUCGAUGAGCCCAAGUGGGAUUAGCUAGUUGGUAAGGUAAUGGCUUACCAAGGCGACGAUCCCUAGCUGGUCUUAGAGGAUGACCAGCCACACUGGAACUGAGACACGGUCCAG